rnacentral:rRNA from 1 species
ACGGGAGGCAGCAGUGAGGAAUAUUGGUCAAUGGGCGGAAGCCUGAACCAGCCAAGUAGCGUGCAGGAUGACGGCCCUAUGGGUUGUAAACUGCUUUUGUGCGGGGAUAAAAAGCGGGACGUGUCCCGCCUUGUAGGUACCGCAAGAAAAAGGACCGGCUAACUCCGUGCCAGCAGCCGCGGUAAUACGGAGGAUCCGAGCGUUAUCCGGAUUUAUUGGGUUUAAAGGGUGCGUAGGCGGGCUGUUAAGUCAGCGGUGAAACCCCCGGGCUCAACCCGGGGACUGCCAUUGAAACUGGCGGCCUUGAGUACGUUGGGAGUGCGCGGAAUGUGUGGUGUAGCGGUGAAAUGCAUAGAUAUCACACAGAACACCGAUCGCGUAGGCAGCGCACUACGCCGCAACUGACGCUGAGGCACGAAGGCGCGGGGAUCGAACAGGAUUAGAUACCCUGGUA